ACCUGUGCAUCUAUGACUCUGACUGCCGCCUUGCAUGGCCUUGAUCGGCCUGGCGCUCGAGUACUUUUCACACUCCCAAAUGUAAUGGAAUGUCUUGUUGUGCGUAACGUACAAACUGAAACAACUUUCAACAACGGAUCUCUUGGCUCUCGCAUCGAUGAAUAACGCAGCGAAAUGCGAUAAGUAAUGUGAAUUGCAGAAUUCAGUGAAUCAUCGAAUCUUUGAACGCACCUUGCACCCUUUGGUAUUCCGAAGGGUACGCCCGUUUGAGUGUCAUUGUAAUCUCACUGCAAUCGACUUUUGUCUUUCCGUAUGUGGACUUGGACGUCUGCCGUGAAUAUCUACGGCUCGUCUGAAAUGCCUCAGUGUACCCCGCAGAGCGGCGUAUUCGGUGUGAUACAUCUUCACCGGAGUUGAUCCUUCACGGGGUCACGUCUGUAAUGUGUGGCUCUAUGCUUCCAACCGUCCUCUGAUCGGACAAUCUUUGACAAUUCAACCUCAAAUCAGGUGGGACUACCCGCUGAACUUAC
rnacentral:rRNA from 1 species